GUCAGGAUGGCCGAGUGGUCUAAGGCGCCAGACUCAAGGUUCAGUCCUUCCUCUGUAGCGGGGUUUCUGGUCUCCGAAUGGAGGCGUGGGUUCGAAUCCCACUUCUGACA
rnacentral:tRNA from 1 species